UUUGUCCUACGGGAGGCAGCAGUGAGGAAUAUUGGUCAAUGGGCGCGAGCCUGAACCAGCCAAGUAGCGUGAAGGAUGACUGCCCUACGGGUUGUAAACUUCUUUUAUAAAGGAAUAAAGUGAGGCACGUGUGCCUUUUUGUAUGUACUUUAUGAAUAAGGAUCGGCUAACUCCGUGCCAGCAGCCGCGGUAAUACGGAGGAUCCGAGCGUUAUCCGGAUUUAUUGGGUUUAAAGGGUGCGUAGGUUGUUUUUUAAGUCAGCGGUGAAAGUUUGUGGCUCAACCAUAAAAUUGCCGUUGAAACUG
rnacentral:rRNA from 1 species